rnacentral:rRNA from 1 species
AUGAGCUUCGACGUUCAAGAUGACAUUAAUCAUUUGUUUGAUUCAUUUAUAUGUAGCCCGCAGCAAAGCACGGGCGUUCAACUAGUGUAUUCCAAUAUCUCGCCGCCGGCACAAGGUUUCCGAUGGCUGCCCCAAAAUUCUUCAACAUCUCCCCCUACUCCUUCGACCCUCCCCCCCCUACACAAUUCUCACGCCAGCACCCCCAGCCCGGACUGGGUCCUCCUCGACACGAAGGCGUACAUCGCCGACCGCAGGAACGGCACCACUGCCACAGCCUUGGCGAGCAACGGCGAAGCCGUCGAGGUGACCUUCUGGAUUGCCGACCCGCCGGCUCUUUCCCACUUCUCUGUUCACUGCAAGGAGCUUUUUGAUAUGGCGGAGGAGCCCCGUGUUAUCUGUUCCGAUAAGAAGGUCGCCAUCCUAUGCCUCCACUGGAUCUCUUCUAAAUUCGGCAGGUGCAAAGUUCUCCGUGACUACUUCGUCUACACAGCCAGAUCGCUGAACAAGGCCCCCUCGCUCAUGCGGCUCCCGAACCCAUCCCCGCGUGUGUUCAAUCCACGGGAGAUGGGUCUCUUGCCCACAGUCGACGGGGAAGGUUUCGUUAUCGCUGUUGUUCGUCCGCAGUUGAUAAUUCCAGGCCGAUAUGAUCUCCACCUCUUCAUCUCCAAGAACUGGAGAUGGAGCACAAAGUCUGCACAAUUGGACCCACAAUUGGUGGCUAGGUCAAAUAUCGACAAGCACAAAACGGACAAGGUUAUCCCACUUAUGGAAGAAGGCUCACUGGGCUGGGUUGAUCUCUGUCGUGGUAUUCUGCUCUGCAAUGUCCUCGAUGACAAUCCCAACCCUGUGUUGCGUUUCAUUCCAUUACCUAAGGAAGCGGCCAUUAACAGGGAUAUCAAAAAUUGUCCUUGGUUAUACCGGGAUGUCACCUACAUCAAUGGUCUUAUCAAAUUUGUUGCUAUGAAAACAUGGGAAAGCAGCACGCUUACAAGUAAAAGGACGUGUGGCUCCUCUGAUGAUAUCACAGAUAUGCAAUUCGAUUCAGACUUGGAGUUGGACGACGACAACAUGUAUGUCAUGGAUGACACCUUUAGCUGGAAUGCUGUUGCAUGGGUCAGGAAGACUUCCCAGGAGGCUUGGACCUGUAACUGUGACGUCAGUGUUGAUGACAUUGCCAUUGACAACAUAAGGCAUUUGCCUCCACUGAAUAAACUCAGAAUAUCUGCCCCUACCCUGAGUAUUCAUGGUGAUGAUGCUGUUAUUUAUCUCACGUCUAAGUUGAACAUCGACGAUGAUAAUGCCUGGGUCCUUACAGUCAACAUGACAAGGAAGACUUUGGAAGAUGUUGUAAUGUUUUCUGCCAAAAGAUUCUUCUUGUUCAAUAUCACGUACCGUCCCUGUUCAUUGUCCAAACAUCUGGACAUGACUGCAGAUAAUUGUGAAGCUGGUAUCCAGAUCAAAGGAGAUGAUUCUGAAUAUGAUGCAGAGGACAGAACAAUCCUUGUAGAUCGGCUAGAUCCCUGUAUUACCGAGGACCAGCUGAAGUGCAUCUUUACUCAAUCUGGAGAACUUGGUCAUGUGCAGAUGCUUGUACACCAGCAACGUGCAUUAAUCAAAUUCAUUCACAGGUGUUCCGCUGAGAAUGCCAUAUGUGAAUACAAUGGAUUUUUGAUUGGUAGGAAUCACAUUCGCAUUUCUUGGAAAUGUGACACUUCAGAUGGAUUGCAAGGGGAUGUGCAGAGCUACCACGUGCAUCCACAGUUUUCUGGUGUUUACAGUUGCAAUCCUACAUUAGAAGGCACUUACCUGUACCAAAAGAGCAACAGAUCAAAAGGCUAUGGCUACCACCUGCAACAGCUGAAGCUGCUGCCACUGCCAUAUCGCAGCAUUAAUGGUGCUAUUCAGUCAUGA